rnacentral:rRNA from 1 species
UACGAAGGGGGCUAGCGUUGUUCGGAUUUACUGGGCGUAAAGCGCACGUAGGCGGAUCGAUCAGUCAGGGGUGAAAUCCCAGAGCUCAACUCUGGAACUGCCUUUGAUACUGUCGAUCUGGAGUAUGGAAGAGGUGAGUGGAAUUCCGAGUGUAGAGGUGAAAUUCGUAGUAUUGGGAAGAACACCGGUGGCGAAGGCGGCCAAACUGGACCACAACUGACACUGAGGCGCGAAAGCGUGGGGAGCAAACAGG